GAUUACGGCCAUACCACCCUGACAACGCCUGAUCUCGUCUGAUCUCGAAAUCUAAGCAGAGUUGGGCUUGAUCAGUACUUGGAUGGGUGACCGCCUGGGAAUACCCGCUGCUGUAAACA
rnacentral:rRNA from 1 species